CGGCUCAGUAACACGUGGAUAACCUACCCUUGAGACGGGGAUAAACCCGGGAAACUGGGUAUAAUACCCGAUAGAUCUCGACUGCUGGAAUGCAUCGAGCUUGAAAGCUCCGGCGCUCAAGGAUGGGUCUGCGGCCUAUCAGGUAGUAGUGGGUGUAGCGUACCUACUAGCCUACGACGGGUACGGGUUGUGAGAGCAAGAGCCCGGAGAUGGAUUCUGAGACACGAAUCCAGGCCCUACGGGGUGCAGCAGGCGCGAAAACUUUACAAUGCUGGAAACAGCGAUAAGGGGACCUCGAGUGCCAGGUUACAAAUCUGGCUGUCGUGAUGCCUAAAAAGCAUUGCAUAGCAAGGGCCGGGCAAGACCGGUGCCAGCCGCCGCGGUAACACCGGCGGCUCGAGUGGUAACCGUUAUUAUUGGGUCUAAAGGGUCUGUAGCCGGCCGGAUAAGUCUCUUGGGAAAUCUGGCAGCUUAACUGUCAGGCUUUCAGGAGAUACUGUCUGGCUCGAGGCCGGGAGAGGUGAGAGGUACUUCAGGGGUAGGGGUGAAAUCUUGUAAUCCUUGAAGGACCACCAGUGGCGAAGGCGUCUCA
rnacentral:rRNA from 1 species